CGGACCUAAACACGGUCCAAACUUCUCGGGAGGACCAAGUGGGGAAUUUUGGCCAAUGGGGGGAAGCCUGAUGCACCCUUGCGGGUGUAUGAAGAAGGCCUCGGGUUGUAAAGUCUUUUCAGCGGGGAGGAAGGUGUUGGGGUUUACAACCGCAGCAAUUGACGUUUCCCGCAGAAGAAGCCCCGGCUAACCCCGUGCCCGCAGCCGCGGUAAUUCGGGGGGUGCAAGGGUUUAUCGGAAUUACUGGGCGUAAGGGCAUGCAGGCGGUCUUGUCAAGUCGGAUGUGAAAUCCCGGGCUCAACCUGGGAACCGCAUUCGAAACUGGCAGGCUUGAGUCUUGUAGAGGGGGGUAGAAUUCCAGGUGUAGCGGUGAAAUGCGUAGAGAUCCGGAGGAAUACCGGUGGCGAAGGCGGCCCCCUGGACAAAGACUGACGCUCAGGUGCGAAAGCGUGGGGAGCAAACAGGAUUAGAUACCCUGGUAGUCCCCGCCGUAAACGAUGUCUACUUGGAGGUUGUGCCCUUGAGGCGUGGCUUCCGGAGCUAACGCGUUAAGUAGACCGCCUGGGGAGUACGGCCGCAAGGUUAAAACUCAAAUGAAUUGACGGGGGCCCGCACAAGCGGUGGAGCAUGUGGUUUAAUUCGAUGCAACGCGAAGAACCUUACCUGGUCUUGACAUCCACGGAAGAAUUCAGAGAUGGAUUUGUGCCUUCGGGAACCGUGAGACAGGUGCUGCAUGGCUGUCGUCAGCUCGUGUUGUGAAAUGUUGGGUUAAGUCCCGCAACGAGCGCAACCCUUAUCCUUUGUUGCCAGCGGUCCGGCCGGGAACUCAAAGGAGACUGCCAGUGAUAAACUGGAGGAAGGUGGGGAUGACGUCAAGUCAUCAUGGCCCUUACGACCAGGGCUACACACGUGCUACAAUGGCGCAUACAAAGAGAAGCGACCUCGCGAGAGCAAGCGGACCUCAUAAAGUGCGUCGUAGUCCGGAUUGGAGUCUGCAACUCGACUCCAUGAAGUCGGAAUCGCUAGUAAUCGUGGAUCAGAAUGCCACGGUGAAUACGUUCCCGGGCCUUGUACACACCGCCCGUCACACCAUGGGAGUGGGUUGCAAAAGAAGUAGGUAGCUUUAACUUCGGGAGG
rnacentral:rRNA from 1 species